rnacentral:rRNA from 1 species
AUGCCGGCGAUGGACGCGUGCGCGCUCUGCGCCAAGCCGCUGGCGCGCGACCGCGACGUCUUCAUGUACAGAGGGGACACGCCCUACUGCAGCGAGGAGUGCCGCCACGAGCAGAUGCACCUCGACGCCGUCUGCGCCAAGCAGGCCGCUCGGAGGCAGCAGCGGUUCUCGGCGGGGACGGAGUCCCACCGUGGGCAGCGCCAGUCCAGGAAGGUGUCCGUCGCGAGCUAG